CGGGGGUGGGGGGGGGGGGG
rnacentral:miRNA from 1 species